rnacentral:rRNA from 1 species
GAUGAACGCUGGCGGCGUGCUUAACACAUGCGAGUCGAGCGGUGAAGCCAAGCUUGCUUGGUGGAUCAGUGGCGAACGGGUGAGUAACACGUGAGCAACCUGCCCUGGACUCUGGGAUAAGCGCUGGAAACGGCGUCUAAUACUGGAUAUGAGCCUCUUCCGCAUGGUGGGGGUUGGAAAGAUUUUUUGGUCUGGGAUGGGCGCGCGGCCUAUCAGCUUGUUGGUGAGGUAAUGGCUCACCAAGGCGUCGACGGGUAGCCGGCCUGAGAGGGUGACCGGCCACACUGGGACUGAGACACGGCCCAGACUCCUACGGGAGGCAGCAGUGGGGAAUGUUGCACAAUGGGCGAAAGCCUGAUGCAGCAACGCCGCGUGAGGGAUGACGGCCUUCGGGUUGUAAACCUCUUUUAGCAGGGAAGAAGCGAAAGUGACGGUACCUGCAGAAAAAGCGCCGGCUAACUACGUG